AUACUCGCUUCAGCAGCACAUCUACUAAAAUUAAACAAUACAGAGACUAUCAGCACAGCCCCUGUGUAGGAAUGACACGCAAAUUUCAAGUGUUUUAUAUUUGAUUU
ensembl:snRNA U6 U6 spliceosomal RNA